rnacentral:lncRNA from 1 species
AAAUAUAGUAUGAGAGCCGUGGUGUAGUGGUUAGUGCAUCGGACUACUAACACAAAGGUGUCUGGUUCGAUUCCUGUCUGGGAUGAAAAUUUCAGGGACUGAAUUUUCGGCUCUCCCUUGACACCAUUUGCGAGUAUGGUCUUGAGGAAACGAUGAUAGUCCGUCGGAAGGGGACGAUAAAUGGCUGACCCGUGUUAAGAGAGAGCCAUAUCUAUUGCACGUUAAAGACACCUUUGUAGAUUUCGAAAAAGAGCAGGCUAAUGCCGCUGCAAGGCAGCACUCGCACCCACAAAGUGGAAAGGAAUUAAUAUAAGUUGCAAAACUUGUUUCCCA